rnacentral:rRNA from 1 species
GACGAACGCUGGCGGCGUGCUUAACACAUGCAAGUCGAGCGGAAAGGCCACUUCGGUGGUACUCGAGCGGCGAACGGGUGAGUAACACGUGAGUAAUCUGCCCCUGGCUUUGGGAUAGCCACCGGAAACGGUGAUUAAUACCGGAUACGACCACUUCUCGCAUGGGAUGGUGGUGGAAAGUUUUUUAGGCCAGGGAUGUGCUCGCGGCCUAUCAGCUUGAUGGUGAGGUAAUGGCUCACCAUGGCUUCGACGGGUAGCCGGCUUGAGAGGGUGACCGGUCACACUGGGACUGAGACACGGCCCAGACUCCUACGGGAGGCAGCAGUGGGGAAUAUGGGACAAUGGGCGGAAGCCUGAUCCAGCAACGCCGCGUGAGGGAUGACGGCCUUCGGGUUGUAAACCUCUUUCAGCAGGGACGAAGCGCAAGUGACGGUACCUGCAGAAGAAGCACCGGCCAACUACGUGCCAGCCGCCGCAGUAA